AGAGUUUGAUCAUGGCUCAGAUUGAACGCUGGCGGCAGGCCUAACACAUGCAAGUCGAGCGGUAGCACAGAGAGCUUGCUCUCGGGUGACGAGCGGCGGACGGGUGAGUAAUGUCUGGGAAACUGCCUGAUGGAGGGGGGAUAACUACUGGAAACGGUAGCUAAUACCGCAUAACGUCGCAAGACCAAAGUGGGGGACCUUCGGGCCUCAUGCCAUCAGAUGUGCCCAGAUGGGAUUAGCUAGUAGGUGGGGUAACGGCUCACCUAGGCGACGAUCCCUAGCUGGUCUGAGAGGAUGACCAGCCACACUGGAACUGAGACACGGUCCAGACUCCUACGGGAGGCAGCAGUGGGGAAUAUUGCACAAUGGGCGCAAGCCUGAUGCAGCCAUGCCGCGUGUGUGAAGAAGGCCUUCGGGUUGUAAAGCACUUUCAGCGGGGAGGAAGGCGGUGAGGUUAAUAACCUCAUCGAUUGACGUUACCCGCAGAAGAAGCACCGGCUAACUCCGUGCCAGCAGCCGCGGUAAUACGGAGGGUGCAAGCGUUAAUCGGAAUUACUGGGCGUAAAGCGCACGCAGGCGGUCUGUCAAGUCGGAUGUGAAAUCCCCGGGCUCAACCUGGGAACUGCAUUCGAAACUGGCAGGCUAGAGUCUUGUAGAGGGGGGUAGAAUUCCAGGUGUAGCGGUGAAAUGCGUAGAGAUCUGGAGGAAUACCGGUGGCGAAGGCGGCCCCCUGGACAAAGACUGACGCUCAGGUGCGAAAGCGUGGGGAGCAAACAGGAUUAGAUACCCUGGUAGUCCACGCCGUAAACGAUGUCGAUUUGGAGGUUGUGCCCUUGAGGCGUGGCUUCCGGAGCUAACGCGUUAAAUCGACCGCCUGGGGAGUACGGCCGCAAGGUUAAAACUCAAAUGAAUUGACGGGGGCCCGCACAAGCGGUGGAGCAUGUGGUUUAAUUCGAUGCAACGCGAAGAACCUUACCUGGUCUUGACAUCCACAGAACUUAGCAGAGAUGCUUUGGUGCCUUCGGGAACUGUGAGACAGGUGCUGCAUGGCUGUCGUCAGCUCGUGUUGUGAAAUGUUGGGUUAAGUCCCGCAACGAGCGCAACCCUUAUCCUUUGUUGCCAGCGGUCCGGCCGGGAACUCAAAGGAGACUGCCAGUGAUAAACUGGAGGAAGGUGGGGAUGACGUCAAGUCAUCAUGGCCCUUACGACCAGGGCUACACACGUGCUACAAUGGCAUAUACAAAGAGAAGCGACCUCGCGAGAGCAAGCGGACCUCAUAAAGUAUGUCGUAGUCCGGAUUGGAGUCUGCAACUCGACUCCAUGAAGUCGGAAUCGCUAGUAAUCGUAGAUCAGAAUGCUACGGUGAAUACGUUCCCGGGCCUUGUACACACCGCCCGUCACACCAUGGGAGUGGGUUGCAAAAGAAGUAGGUAGCUUAACCUUCGGGAGGGCGCUUACCACUUUGUGAUUCAUGACUGGGGUGAAGUCGUAACAAGGUAACCGUAGGGGAACCUGCGGUUGGAUCACCU
rnacentral:rRNA from 1 species